CUUAAGUACAAUCAUAAGUUCUCGCUCUCAACUUUAAUCGUUCGUCUUAUUUAAUUUUUUUUAAAAUUAGUGUUUUUAUUAUUAUGAGAUGAUAAAACAUGAAUAGCACUUUAUACGUAACUUAUGGUUUUAAUUUUUUAAAAAAAAUUUAAAUAAAACGGACUGUCAAGUUAUGUACGGAAAAUUAUAGCUGCACUUAGA
rfam:Oryza sativa (indica cultivar-group) chromosome 11, whole genome shotgun sequence.